UGAAUGGGGGUAUUGCUUCAGCUUUGGGAUGCAGUCUGGGCUCAACAGGGUGCUUAACGAUAAGCUUUAAGCAAGACCCAAGUCAGUGAGGCCACUUCUGUGAUGCGAAGGAUCUGUCUACCCCAAACAAGCUCAGUCCCUCAGAUUGAGAACUCUAUUCAUUAAGUUAUUUUAACUCUUAGCGCAGCAUUCAAGCAGCCCAGAGGGAAAGGAAGCUCCCAAACUUCGGAUCUGAAAAGGCAGGAGCCAGGCUUGGGGGAAACACACUUACACACUGCACAUCAACAAACAAACAAAUGGCCGGCCAUCUGAGCCAGGCUGGUGCCUCUCUGGCCAAGAUGAACACAGCCCAUUCCCAGCUGGUGGCAGUUUGCUCCUGGAAAACUUGAAAUGAGAAGCUAAGGUAAAAAUCAAGGCCAACACAGCUCCUCAAACUUUCACCAAAUCCUUGUCCCCUAGAGCUAUGCUUUUCAACCUUUUCCACUUUGAGGCCCCCUUGUAAAUUUGUUUCAGCUCUCUGGCUCAGGAUUUACUGGAAAUAUAGGAAAAUGGCAGAGGGCCCUUAGAAAAAG
rnacentral:lncRNA from 1 species